UGGAAAGUCCGACGGUACAGGGUGAUAGUCCCGUACACCAAAAUGCACAGGCUGUGAACUCGAAGAGUAGGGCGGGACACGUGGUAUCCUGUCUGAAUAUGGGGGGACCAUCCUCCAAGGCUAAAUACUCCUGACUGACCGAUAGUGAACCAGUACCGUGAGGGAAAGGCGAAAAGAACCCCGGCGAGGGGAGUGAAAAAGAACCUGAAACCGUGUACGUACAAGCAGUGGGAGCACCUUCGGGUGUGACUGCGUACCUUUUGUAUAAUGGGUCAGCGACUUAUAUUCUGUAGCAAGGUUAACCGUAUAGGGGAGCCGCAGGGAAACCGAGUCUUAACUGGGCGUUAAGUUGCAGGGUAUAGACCCGAAACCCGGUGAUCUAGCCAUGGGCAGGUUGAAGGUUGGGUAACACUAACUGGAGGACCGAACCGACUAAUGUUGAAAAAUUAGCGGAUGACUUGUGGCUGGGGGUGAAAGGCCAAUCAAACCGGGAGAUAGCUGGUUCUCCCCGAAAGCU
rnacentral:rRNA from 1 species